CGCGCAGCCGUCCUCCACCUGGACUGCACGGCGCCUGCACGCCGGAGCCCACUCCCCCACGCCCACUGCAGACCACCGGCGCCAGACGCGCCCGCUCACCCGUGAUGCCGCAGUGACCCGAUAGGAAGGCCUAGGUGCGCGGCGCUGACGGACGGAUUCGAGGGCGCGGCGUCGAAGGGAGAGGGAUUUGGUGACGCACCUCUCCUCCAUGGUCGCCGAUGAGGAUUCGCGGUGCCGACGAGGAUUCGUGGUGGUAUUUUUUUUGUACGGGAAGAAUUCGUUGCGGUAUUGGAUUGGUGAAGGUUGAUCAGCGAGGAGAAUAAUAGGGGGCAACUCUAAUCCUUUCUAUCAUAGGAUCAGCAUGAACCAACUCGAAUCAGUGCUAUGACAAACAUAAUCAGUGAGUUUUUAUGUGUUGCCAGUCAGGACCAGAAGUUUCAACAUCACCAUUGAGGGCCUUAUGGCAUUCAGAUAUGAAGUGUUCCAGCUGAUUGGGUUGGCAUCAACGUCAAACAGAUUUACAUCUGUAGGAGCGGAUAGUGCUUGGUCAUUUAACGGGGUACACACUCCUGGUAACAAAGAGUUAAGUCAUGUUGUUGCUAUAAAAAUAAUGACACAGCAAUAUUCAGUUUACAUGUACCUGCAAGCUGAGUUGGUUCGUCAAUAUUGUCACACGUGGUAUGUGCAGGCUUCUCAGUUUGAUCGAAGGAAGCGAGGAGAUUUUUUCCGGUAAUGUUUUGAGAACACGGUCUACCUGUAUGGUUUGAUUACAUGGUUCAGACAACAUAAGAUAUCCGGAUUAGUAUUUAAAUACCUUGCCUUUUUAUAUAUCGUGUGUGGUUUUGCAGUAUACCAGCAUUUGGAGCUGCAUCCUUAACUUGUUGGCGUCCUAUCCGCAGCUUCAUUAGGUAUUCUUCUUUCUUGUCAGCAGACAUUCGAGCAUACCAACUGGUAGUACUGCCACGUGCCCGAUUUUCCUCCGUAGCUUUGUUGGUUAUAUCAUUAAACGGGG